rnacentral:rRNA from 1 species
AUUGAACGCUGGCGGCAUGCCUUACACAUGCAAGUCGAACGGUAACAGGUCUUCGGAUGCUGACGAGUGGCGCACGGGUGAGUAAUACAUCGGAACGUGCCCGAUCGUGGGGGAUAACGAGGCGAAAGCUUUGCUAAUACCGCAUACGAUCUACGGAUGAAAGCGGGGGAUCUUCGGACCUCGCGCGGACGGGGCGGCCGAUGGCAGAUUAGGUAGUUGGUGGGAUAAAAGCUUACCAAGCCGACGAUCUGUAGCUGGUCUGAGAGGAUGAUCAGCCACACUGGGACUGAGACACGGCCCAGACUCCUACGGGAGGCAGCAGUGGGGAAUUUUGGACAAUGGGCGAAAGCCUGAUCCAGCCAUGCCGCGUGCAGGAUGAAGGCCUUUGGGUUGUAAACUGCUUUUGUACGGAACGAAAAGCCUCUUUCUAAUAAAGAGGGGUCAUGACGGUACCGUAAGAAUAAGCACCGGCUAACUACGUG